rnacentral:snRNA from 1 species
UCAGCAUCUUGGCCAUUUUGGCUAAGAUCAAAUGUAGCACCAAGGAGAGGGUGUCAGGGCUGGUUCUGGCCCUUCCGGUGUCAGCCUGGUAUUGCAGUACCUCUAGUUCCCUGCAGAGGGAACACCCACUUUUUUUUAUUAACAAAAAAAAGUUUCCAUCAGAAUUUUUGGCACCAGGAGAGGGUAUCAGAGCUUUCUCUGACUUCUCUGAGUGCUGACCUGGUAUUGCAGUACUUCCAGGCCCAGUGCUCGUUCC